GAAAAAUUUGCAAGUCAUAUAACUGUCUUGUCAUCCUGUGUAGCUCUGCACUGCUUUAUCCAGGCGGUGGAAAAAGCUUUGAGUGUGAGUGGCCAGAAUCAAGUGGUGUUCUCUCACUUCAUCACGUUUGGCACAUUUUCUCUCUGGACAAAUCCAGUGGACAUUUUGCAGACCUGCUAAUCUCAGGAAGACUGAAGUUUUUAGAAG
rnacentral:lncRNA from 10 species